CCUACGGGAGGCAGCAGUAGGGAAUAUUGGGCAAUGGAGGCAACUCUGACCCAGCCAUGCCGCGUGCAGGAAGAAGGCGUUAUGCGUUGUAAACUGCUUUUAUAUAGGAAGAAAUAGACCUUGCGAGGUAAGUUGACGGUACUAUAUGAAUAAGCACCGGCUAACUCCGUGCCAGCAGCCGCGGUAAUACGGAGGGUGCAAGCGUUGUCCGGAUUUAUUGGGUUUAAAGGGUGCGUAGGCGGUUUAUUAAGUCAGUGGUGAAAGACGGUCGCUCAACGAUUGCAGUGCCAUUGAUACUGGUAGACUUGAGUGGGAUUGAGGUAGCUGGAAUGGAUAGUGUAGCGGUGAAAUGCAUAGAUAUUAUCCAGAACACCAAUUGCGUAGGCAAGUUACUAAGUCUCAACUGACGCUGAGGCACGAAAGUGUGGGUAUCAAACAGGAUUAGAUACCCUGGUAGUCCACACUGUAAACGAUGAUAACUAACUNUUGGCUUUGGGUCAGUGGUACNGAGAAAUCGUUAAGUUAUCCCACNGGAGUACGCGCGACGAGAACGACGAAAGAAGUAGACGCGUGAGACGUAGACGACGGACGACGACGAGGGAGGAGG
rnacentral:rRNA from 1 species